rnacentral:rRNA from 1 species
GAGUUUGAUCUUGGCUCAGGAUGAACGCUGGCGGCGUGCUUAACACAUGCAAGUCGAACGGGCUCAUAUUGAAACCUAGUGAUUUAUGAGUUAGUGGCGGACGGGUGAGUAACGCGUGGAAAACCUGCCGUAUACUGGGGGGAUAACACUUAGAAAUAGGUGCUAAUACCGCAUAAGCGCACAGCUUCGCAUGAAGUGGUGUGAAAAACUCUGGUGGUAUACGAUGGUUCCGCGUCUGAUUAGCUUGUUGGCGGGGUAAUGGCUCACCAAGGCAACGAUCAGUAGCCGGCCUGAGAGGGUGAACGGCCACAUUGGGACUGAGACACGGCCCAAACUCCUACGGGAGGCAGCAGUGGGGAAUAUUGCACAAUGGGGGAAACCCUGAUGCAGCGACGCCGCGUGAGUGAAGAAGUAUUUCGGUAUGUAAAGCUCUAUCAGCAGGGAAGAAAAUGACGGUACCUGAUUAAGAAGCCCGGCUAACUACGUGCCAGCCGCCGCCGUAAU